UGAGGUGGCACUUCAUGUUGUCCAGCUACUGAUGGCCCAUUUCAAAGAGAGCACAGAUGGCCUCAUCCUUUCCACAGAUUCAUCUGCCACAGUGACUGAUGUUGAGAAGACCUUCAACCUGCCUUUAACACCACGCCUGAUACUACUCUGUGGAAAAGACCAUGUGACUGCUGGGCACUGGAUGAUCAGUCUCGAGAGCCAUGUUGUAUGUGAGGGCAUUCAACCAACCUUUGUGACAGGGCUUGCUGCACUGUUUUCAGUGUACUACAUCUUUAAUCUACAAUAUCAAGAAGAGGCUGCAUGUACACUUGAAUUCAUC